UGAGGAAUAUUGGGCAAUGCCCGCAAGGGUGACCCAGUAACGCCGCGUGGAGGAUGAAUGUCGUAAGAUUGUAAACUCCUGUUAGAGGGGAAGAAUAGUACCGGUUGGACCGGUAUAUGACUGUACCCUCAGAGAAAGCCCCGGCUAACUACGUGCCAGCAGCCGCGGUAAUACGUAGGGGGCAAGCGUUGUCCGGAUUUACUGGGUGUAAAGGGCGCGCAGGCGGGAUAAAAAGUCAGUGGUGAAAUCCUACAGCUUAACUGUAGAACUGCCUUUGAUACUUUUAUUCUUGAGUUCGGGAGAGAGAGACGGAAUUCCAGGUGUAGUGGUGAAAUACGUAGAUAUCUGGAAGAACACCAGUUGCGAAGGCGGUCUCUUGGUCCGACACUGACGCUGAGGCGCGAAAGCGUGGGGAGCAAACA
rnacentral:rRNA from 1 species